GACUUUUCAAGAGUUUCAAGAUAUGAGAUUCUUUCUAAGUCGGCCGUACCUACUAUUGCUAUUUUUGAAAGUAGAUCGGCUAGCAUAUUUUCUGUUCUCGAUGUCUGCAGGAUAUUUAUGGUAAUAAAAUUGAAGGCAAGAUCUUUGACUUUCUGUAGGUACUUCAUCAUGUUUAGCUCUUGAGCUUCAUAUGCUCCCUGUACCUAACCAACAA
rnacentral:lncRNA from 1 species